UACGAAGGGGGGCUAGCGUUGCUCGGAAUCACUGGGCGUAAAGCGCACGUAGGCGGCUUUCUAAGUCAGGGGUGAAAUCCUGGAGCUCAACUCCAGAACUGCCCUUGAUACUGGAAGCUUGAGUUCGGGAGAGGUGAGUGGAACUGCGAGUGUAGAGGUGAAAUUCGUAGAUAUUUCGCAAGAACACCAGUGGCGAAGGCGGCUCACUGGCCCGAUACUGACGCUGAGGUGCGAAAGCGUGGGGAGCAAACAGG
rnacentral:rRNA from 1 species